CCUGGCUGCCGGCACUGGUUUUCCUCCAGCACCUGGGACCCAGGCCUUCAUUCUGGCCACAGUGGAGAAUCCAAGCCUCUUCAGUCUUCAGUCUUCAGUCUUCACCUGAGUAUGCAAAUUAACC